GAAACUACAAAGGAAUUGACGGGACCCGCACAAGCGGUGGAGGAUGUGGUUUAAUUCGAUGAUACGCGAGGAACCUUACCUGGGCUUAAAUGUAGAGUGCAUUUUCUAGAGAUAGGAAUUCCCUUCGGGGCUUUCUACAAGGUGCUGCAUGGUUGUCGUCAGCUCGUGCCGUGAGGUGUCGGGUUAAGUCCCAUAACGAGCGCAACCCUUAUCGUUAGUUGCCAUCUGGUAAAGCAGGGGACUCUAGCGAAACUGCCACCGUAAGGUGAGAGGAAGGUGGGAUGACGUCAAAUCAGCACGGCCCUUAUGUCCAGGGCUACACACGUGUUACAAUGGUCGGUACAGAGGGCAGCUACCUGGUGACAGGAUGCUAAUCUCGAAAACCGGCCUCAGUUCGGAUCGAAGUCUGCAACUCGACUUCGUGAAGCUGGAUUCGCUAGUAAUCGCGCAUCAGCCAUGGCGCGGUGAAUACGUUCCCGGGCCUU
rnacentral:rRNA from 1 species